CAGUAGCCGCGGUAAUACGAGGGGGGCAAGCGUUGUUCGGAUUUAUUGGGCGUAAAGGGUGCGUAGGCGGUUUGGCAAGUCUUGUGUGAAAUCUUCGGGCUCAACCCGAAGCCUGCACGAGAAACUACCGGGCUUGAGUAUUGGAGAGGUGAGUGGAAUUUCCGGUGUAGCGGUGAAAUGCGUAGAUAUCGGAAGGAACACCUGUGGCGAAAGCGGCUCACUGGACAAUAACUGACGCUGAUGCACGAAGGCUAGGGGAGCAAACAGGAUUAGAUACCCCUGUAGUCCCUGUCUCUUAUAC
rnacentral:rRNA from 1 species